rnacentral:rRNA from 1 species
AUUGAACGCUGGCGGCAGGCCUAACACAUGCAAGUCGAGCGGAGCGGCGGACGGGUGAGUAAUGCCUAGGAAUCUGACUGGUAGUGGGGGAUAACGUCCGGAAACGGGCGCUAAUACCGCAUACUAUCAGAUGAGCCUAGGUCGGAUGAGCAAGUUGGUGGGUUAAAGGCCUACCAAGGUGACGAUCAGUAACUGGUCUGAGAGGAUGAGCAGUCACACGGGACCUGAGACACGGUCCCGCCUCCAACGGGAGGCAGUAGUGGGGAAUAAUGGACAAUGGGCGAACGCCUGAUCAAGCCAUGCCGCGUGUGUGAAGAAGGUCUUCGGAUUGUAAAGCACUUUAAGUUAGGAGGCGUUACCAACAGAAUAAGCAACGGCUAACUUCGUGCCAGCCGCCGCGGUAAUAC